UACGGAGGGUGCAAGCGUUAAUCGGAAUUACUGGGCGUAAAGGGUUCGUAGGUGGUUAGAUAAGUUAUCUGUAAAAUCCCUGGGCUUAACCUGGGCAGGUCAGAUAAGACUGUUUGACUCGAGUAUUGGAGAGGGUAGUGGAAUUUCCGGUGUAGCGGUGAAAUGCGUAGAGAUCGGAAGGAACACCAGUGGCGAAGGCGGCUACCUGGCCAAAUACUGACACUGAGGAACGAAAGCGUGGGGAGCAAACAGG
rnacentral:rRNA from 1 species